AGUGAACGCUGGCGGUAGGCCUAACACAUGCAAGUCGAACGGCAGCACAGGAGAGCUUGCUCUCUGGGUGGCGAGUGGCGGACGGGUGAGGAAUACAUCGGAAUCUACUUUUUCGUGGGGGAUAACGUAGGGGAACUUACGCUAAUACCGCAUACGACCUACGGGUGAAAGCAGGGGACCUUCGGGCCUUGCGCGAUUGAAUGAGCCGAUGUCGGAUUAGCUAGUUGGCGGGGUAAAGGCCCACCAAGGCGACGAUCCGUAGCUGGUCUGAGAGGAUGAUCAGCCACACUGGAACUGAGACACGGUCCAGACUCCUACGGGAGGCAGCAGUGGGGAAUAUUGGACAAUGGGCGCAAGCCUGAUCCAGCCAUACCGCGUGGGUGAAGAAGGCCUUCGGGUUGUAAAGCCCUUUUGUUGGGAAAGAAAUCCAGCUGGCUAAUACCCGGUUGGAUGACGGUACCCAAAGAGUAAGCACCGGCUAACUUCGUGCCAGCCGCCGCCGUAA
rnacentral:rRNA from 1 species